rnacentral:rRNA from 1 species
UACGUAGGGGGCAAGCGUUGUCCGGAUUUAUUGGGCGUAAAGAGCGUGUAGGCGGUUCGGUAGGUCCGUUGUGAAAACUCGAGGCUCAACCUCGAGACGCCGAUGGAAACCCCCGAACUAGAGUCCGGAAGAGGAGAGUGGAAUUCCUGGUGUAGCGGUGAAAUGCGCAGAUAUCAGGAAGAACACCAAUGGCGAAGGCAGCACUCUGGGACGUGACUGACGCUGAGACGCGAAAGCGUGGGGAGCAAACAGG